rnacentral:tRNA from 1 species
AAUCAGCUGGCGCAGGCGGCGCAUGAACUGAUGGCGUUCAUAGUCAGCAAUAUCGUUGUUAUCAAGCUGUUUCAGACAGUUGUUGAUUUC